rnacentral:sRNA from 1 species
GCUGGGUGCAGUAGUGUGCACCUGUAAUCCUGUAUUUGGAAGGCUAAGACAGGAGGAUCACAAGUUCAAGGCCAGCCUGAGCAAUUUAAUAAGACCCUGUCAU